AGUGAACGCUGGCGGUAGGCCUAACACAUGCAAGUCGAACGGCAGCACAGUAAAAGCUUGCUCUUACGGGUGGCGAGUGGCGGACGGGUGAGGAAUACAUCGGAAUCUACUUUUUCGUGGGGGAUAACGUAGGGAAACUUACGCUAAUACCGCAUACGACCUACGGGUGAAAGCAGGGAAUCUUCGUACCUUGCGCGAUUGAAUGAGCCGAUGUCGGAUUAGCUAGUUGGCGGGGUAAAGGCCCACCAAGGCGACGAUCCGUAGCUGGUCUGAGAGGAUGAUCAGCCACACUGGAACUGAGACACGGUCCAGACUCCUACGGGAGGCAGCAGUGGGGAAUAUUGGACAAUGGGCGCAAGCCUGAUCCAGCCAUACCGCGUGGGUGAAGAAGGCCUUCGGGUUGUAAAGCCCUUUUGUUGGGAAAGAAAAGCAGCAGGUUAAUACCCCGCUGUUCUGACGGUACCCAAAGAAUAAGCACCGGCUAACUUCGUG
rnacentral:rRNA from 1 species